rnacentral:rRNA from 1 species
UUAUAAGAGACAGCAGUAGCCACGGGAAUACGGAGGGUGCAAGCGUUAAUCGGAAUUACUGGGCGUAAAGGGCGCGUAGGCGGCCUGUUAAGUCGGAUGUGAAAGCCCGGGGCUCAACCCCGGAACUGCAUCCGAGACUGGCAGGCUUGAGACCGGGAGAGGAGGGUGGAAUAUCCAGUGUAGAGGUGAAAUUCGUAGAUAUUGGAUGGAACACCAGUGGCGAAGGCGGCUUACUGGCUCAUUCUAGACGCUGAGGUGCGAAAGCGUAGGGAGCAAACAGGAUUAGAUACCCCUGUAGUCCCUGUCUCUUAUAA